rnacentral:tRNA from 1 species
ACUUUUAUAAUUUAUAUUAGAAUAUCGCGUUGAAGUUGCGAAAGAGGCAAUAUUGUCUGAAAGUA